rnacentral:rRNA from 1 species
GAUGAACGCUGGCGGCGUGCCUAAUACAUGCAAGUCGAGUGAACAGACGAGGAGCUUGCUCCUCUGACGUUAGCGGCGGACGGGUGAGUAACACGUGGAUAACCUACCUAUAAGACUGGGAUAACUUCGGGAAACCGGAGCUAAUACCGGAUAAUAUAUUGAACCGCAUGGUUCAAUAGUGAAAGACGGUUUUGCUGUCACUUAUAGAUGGAUCCGCGCCGCAUUAGCUAGUUGGUAAGGUAACGGCUUACCAAGGCGACGAUGCGUAGCCGACCUGAGAGGGUGAUCGGCCACACUGGAACUGAGACACGGUCCAGACUCCUACGGGAGGCAGCAGUAGGGAAUCUUCCGCAAUGGGCGAAAGCCUGACGGAGCAACGCCGCGUGAGUGAUGAAGGUCUUCGGAUCGUAAAACUCUGUUAUUAGGGAAGAACAAAUGUGUAAGUAACUAUGCACGUCUUGUCGGUACCUAAUCAGAAAGCCACGGCUAACUACGUG